UUAACUUUGUGUUUGAGGGUGCGUGGAUUCUAACUUGGAAUUAUCAGUACUGUAGACAUAUACCGUAUAAGGAGGGUUGUCUUUGUGAGAAUAUUUGUAAGGGGAAGAGCUAGAGCCAUCCGAAGAGGGAGAGGGGUUGCGGUUGGAAUUUUCGUCAUUGUUAGCCAGCGUGGGUGUAGGCGAUUGAGUAUGAUUCAGAGUUGAACUGGAAUGUGCGCUGUUUGUAGACGAGCUGUUUUUCUUGACUGAGUCUGUUUUGGUCUUGUUGGAUUUGCUCACCUUAGUA